rnacentral:rRNA from 1 species
GUCGAGCGGAAAGGCCCUUUCGGGGGUACUCGAGCGGCGAACGGGUGAGUAACACGUGAGUAAUCUGCCCUGCGCUCUGGGAUAGCCACCGGAAACGGUGAUUAAUACCGGAUAGGACCACUUCACGCAUGUGAUGGUGGUGGAAAGUUUUUUCGGCGCAGGAUGUGCUCGCGGCCUAUCAGCUUGUUGGUGAGGUAACGGCUCACCAAGGCUUUGACGGGUAACCGGCCUGAGAGGGUGACCGGUCACACUGGGACUGAGACACGGCCCAGACUCCUACGGGAGGCAGCAGUGGGGAAUAUUGGACAAUGGGCGGAAGCCUGAUCCAGCAACGCCGCGUGAGGGAUGACGGCCUUCGGGUUGUAAACCUCUUUCAGUACCGACGAAGCGAAAGUGACGGUAGGUACAGAAGAAGGACCGGCCAACUACGUGCCAGCAGCCGCGGUAAUACGUAGGGUCCGAGCGUUGUCCGGAAUUAUUGGGCGUAAAGGGCUCGUAGGCGGUUUGUCGCGUCGGGAGUGAAAACACCGGGCUUAACUCGGUGCUUGCUUUCGAUACGGGCAGACUAGAGGUAUGCAGGGGAGAAUGGAAUUCCUGGUGUAGCGGUGAAAUGCGCAGAUAUCAGGAGGAACACCGGUGGCGAAGGCGGUUCUCUGGGCAUU